CACGGAGCGGAGAGGAGAGGAGUGUAUAAAUAUCAGAGUGCCUCUUCUCUCCGCUAUACCAGACCUGACACAUGACCUAGUUGUCCCUGUCACGUCUCCUGUGUGUCCUCCCCAAGACCGCACUUCCCGAAGGAGUCGACUAGACAACGGUUGGUUUAUUCUACAGGUGCCUUUGGCCUCAUCCCCCAGUGAGCCCCUGCUAAUCCGAAUUAAGCCCUACGAAGUGCACACUCUAAAGUGCACACUCUGGAGAAAACUUCUCUUCUGCCAGUAAUCCAUACUUCUCAUUGAGAGAUGAAGACGUGCAUCCCACUACUGAUGGCUGUGCUGCCUAUCAUACAGGCAGGUCAGUACUGCAGCUAUUACAGCUCUUAUGCACGUUAUGACUGGGUUAUGACAGGUAUUAGAGAGGUAUUAGUGGUUUAU
rnacentral:lncRNA from 1 species